rnacentral:rRNA from 1 species
GAUGAACGCUGGCGGCGUGCCUAAUACAUGCAAGUCGAGCGAACAGACGAGGAGCUUGCUCCUCUGACGUUAGCGGCGGACGGGUGAGUAACACGUGGAUAACCUACCUAUAGGACUGGGAUAACUUCGGGAAACCGGAGCUAAUACCGGAUAAUAUAUUGAACCGCAUGGUUCAAUAGUGAAAGACGGUUUUGCUGUCACUUAUAGAUGGAUCCGCGCCGCAUUAGCUAGUUGGUAAGGUAACGGCUUACCAAGGCAACGAUGCGUAGCCGACCUGAGAGGGUGAUCGGCCACACUGGAACUGAGACACGGUCCAGACUCCUACGGGAGGCAGCAGUAGGGAAUCUGCCGCAAUGGGCGAAAGCCUGACGGAGCAACGCCGCGUGAGUGAUGAAGGUCUUCGGAUCGUAAAACUCUGUUAUGAGGGAAGAACAAAUGUGUAAGUAACUAUGCACGUCUUGACGGUACCUAAUCAGAAAGCCACGGCUAACUACGUG